CCCCAAGCCCACCGCCAGACCAAGAUCCAGUCCCAGCAGGAUGGCCCCCACACAUGUUCCCACCCACACCACCUGCAGACACACCUGAGCUCAAACACCGACAGAGAAGAGUCUGGGACAGGUGGAUAAUAAUCCUGUUGACGAUGACCAAGGCGCCCAGGACGGACUGCAGGGAAGUCAAACAUUAAAGAAGCCGUUCUCGAGUCUCACCGUGGGAAGCGGCUCCAGCAGGAAGCCAAGAGCCACAGUUACGAUCAUCGCCAUCAUGGCCGAGACCAGCCCUGCAAUCUGCAUUUAUAAAAAAGUUAAUGUUUCAUUUUAACGUGCCAAUGAAGGAAAAGAAUGUCAUAUAAACCGGAUUGUAAAGCGACAUUACAAUGAUUCUUUUUGGAGACGAAACUUUGUGUUUGUUUCCUCGUAACAGUUUGUUUUCAGACCUGAGUUUUGCCUCCUGAGCUCUCCUGCACAGCCGUCCUGGAGAGUGCGGUGCUGGCUGCAAACGACCUGAAGCUUGCACCAAAUAUGUUGCUCACCCCAAAUGCUAUGAGCUCCUGGGAUCACGGAACAAUGACAAGUUACCUCUCUGGCAUUCUGUUUGACAUGCACCACAUGACAGCUCAUAUCCAACCUUGUGCUAAAAGCAAGAUUCAGUAUUGUUUUAUAUCUUCACGACCAAAAUUACGAGGAGUCUUAUUCUCGGACUCGCUUUGUUUGAAUAACAAAUUAACAGUUUUUCCUCUGUCAGAGCCAGGAGCGACACCCACCUGGUUCCCAUCAAUGGUGUAAUCGUGUUUUAUCGAGUAGACUUUGGCCACAGAGAAGGCGACGGCAAAGCCCACUAUGGCUACAGGGAAGGCCUCCACAGCACUCUCCUGAAAUACUUCUACACUGGGCGCGAUGGGAGGCUCAUACCUGAAAGAUGACAGUUUAAAUGUGCAUUCAUCAGAACAGUGGUGGGAAAUAGUUCAAUGCAUUUUAAAUGCUGUACUUAAAUACAAUGUUGAGAUUCUUACUUUCCAUUUAUUAAGACCCGACUACAGAGUGAAAUACAUUUAACACCACUGCAUUUAUUUUAAUCUGUGGUUACUUGUUACUUUUCAGAUUAAUAUUGUACAUAAAAACAUUAUGAAAUACAUUUCAUUGUUAACGAUUGACCUUUUUAGCUUCGGACUCAAAAAAUAAAUAA